rnacentral:rRNA from 1 species
UAUGCUUGUCUCAAAGAUUAAGCCAUGCAUGUGCAGUACAACGUCCAAAAAAAAAGGUGAAACCGCGAAUGGCUCAUUAAAACAGCUGUAAUUCCCUGGAGCUACAACUGAUGAAAACUCUCACCUAGUUGGAUAACUGUGGUAAUUCUAGAGCUAAUACAUGCCCCCAUAGUUCCUGGCCCCCUGGACUUUUUCAUGAUGAGUGAAAAAAUUACGUCUUGGAGAGGCAAGGCCGCUUUUAUUAGUACACAUCAAAACCAAUUGUUGGGCUCCGGUCCUUCAAUGGCCAAGUGUGGUGAACUCUGGAUAACUAUGCUGAGCGCAAGGCCAAAAUUAUAUUAAAUUUUGUGUCGGCGCCAUAUCCUUCAAGUGUCUGCCUUAUCAGCUCUAGAUUGUAGACUAAAUGCCUACAAUGGAUAUAACGGGUGACGGGGAAUCAGGGUUCGAUUCCGGAGAGGGAGCCUGAGAAACGGCUACCACAUCCAAGGAAGGCAGCAGGCACGCAAAUUACCCACUCCCGGCACGGGGAGGUAGUGACGAAAAAUAACAAUGUGAGACUCAUCCGAGGCCUCGCAAUUGGAAUGAGUACACUUUAAAUCCUUUAACGAGGACCAAUUGGAGGGCAAGUCUGGUGCCAGCAGCCGCGGUAAUUCCAGCUCCAAUAGCAUAUAUUAAUGUUGUUGCGGUUAAAAAGCUCGUAGUUGGAUCUAAAAUACAGGGCCGAGGGACGUCUAAGAUUGGCGCUUCUCUCGGUCUCCUGUAGUGCUCUCUCUCUCUGAUGAGGAGGGGAGAGCCAUGCCGGCACGCACGGGAUUCCCUUAAUCGGGUGUCCCGGGUGGCUGGCGAGUUUACUUUGAAAAAAUUAGAGUGCUCAAAGCAGGCAAAACUUAAUGCCUGAAUGGUUAUGCAUGGAAUAAUGGAAUAGGACCUUGGUUCUAUUUUGUUGGUUUAUACUGAACCUAAGGUAAUGACUAAUAAGGACAGUCGGGGGCAUUUGUACUGUGGCGCGAGGGGUGAAAUCCUGUGACCGUCACAAGACAAACAACAGCGAAAGCAUUUGCCAAGGAUGUUUUCAUUAAUCAAGAACGAAAGUUAGAGGUUCGAAGGCGAUCAGAUACCGCCCUAGUUCUAACCAUAAACGAUGCCAACCAGCAAUCUGUCGGCGUUAUACCCAUGACUCGACAGGAAGCUUCUGGGAAACCAAAGUUUUUGGGUUCCGGGGGAAGUAUGGUUGCAAAGCUGAAACUUAAAGGAAUUGACGGAAGGGCACCACCAGGAGUGGAGCCUGCGGCUUAAUUUGACUCAACACGGGAAACCUCACCAGGCCCAGACACUGGAAGGAUUGACAGAAUGAGAGCUCUUUCUCGAUUCAGUGGGUGGUGGUGCAUGGCCGUUCUUAGUUGGUGGAGUGAUUUGCUGGUAAUUCCGAUAACGAACGAGACUCUAGCCUACUAACUAGUCGACGGAUUCCAAGGGUACUAAGCACGUUAGCUUUCUUGGUUGGACGAGCACUUUCCAGUACUUCCGCCGCCUCCUCCUCCUCCGUGGUCUCGUGGGCUUUCUCUUGAGGGUCUACAGGCUACGUGGGGCUGGCUGGCUGGUUGGUUGGUGGUCGCAGAUUGUGUCUCUACUACUUCCUUGAUCAUGCUGCUGCUAAACCCAAUACGGUUUCCAGUCGCAGAAUCUCUUCUUAGAGGAAUAAGUAGCAGUACUAGCUGCAUGAGAUUGAGCAAUAACAGGUCUGUGAUGCCCUUAGAUGUUCUGGGCCGCACGCGCGCUACAAUGAAGGGAGCAGCGAGUGUUCCUUCUCCGAGAGGAGAGGGUAACCCGUUGAAAACCUUUCUUGAUAGGGAUUGGGACUUGCAAUUGUUUCCCAUGAACGAGGAAUUCCCAGUAAGCACGAGUCAUCAUCUUGUGCUGACUAAGUCCCUGCCCUUUGUACACACCGCCCGUCGCUACUACCGAUUGAAUGACUUAGUGAGGAUUUCGGACUGGCGAUCUUGGACGAUGAUGAC